UACGGAGGUGGCAAGCGUUGUUCGGAAUUACUGGGCGUAAAGGGCGCGUAGGCGGCUAGGCAAGUCAGGUGUGAAAGCCCCGGGCUUAACCCGGGAAUUGCAUCUGAAACUGCUGUGCUUGAGUUCUGGAGGGGGUAGUGGAAUUCCCAGUGUAGCGGUGAAAUGCGUAGAUAUUGGGAGGAACACCUGCGGCGAAGGCGGCUACCUGGACAGAAACUGACGCUGAGGCGCGAAAGCUAGGGGAGCGAAACGGG
rnacentral:rRNA from 1 species